CACAAAGCAGGCACACAAACAAUUCUAUCUUUCUGUCUCUCUCAGCGGUUAUAGGUUUGCGAUUCUUCGUUUUCAUCACCGAAUCAACGGAGAAUUGGACGAUCUCAGUUCCAAUAUCUUCUUCUCAGAUCCACCCAAACAAGGAGAAAUCUCGAUCUGAUCUUCCUACUUCAUCUUACCAGAUUUCGUUUCUCUAUCCAUCCAGGUGACAAUUUAACUAGAAACAGCUUCUAUGGGAACAGAGGAGAUUAAGAAGGAUAUGGAUGUGAGCGAGUGGUUUUCACAGCUGACCUAUGACCAGUGGAUAGCAGUACCUGCUUCUGGUGCACGAC
rnacentral:misc_RNA from 1 species